rnacentral:rRNA from 1 species
UACGGAGGAUCCAAGCGUUAUCCGGAUUUAUUGGGUUUAAAGGGUGCGUAGGCGGCCUAUUAAGUCAGGGGUGAAAGACGGUAGCUUAACUAUCGCAGUGCCUUUGAUACUGAUGGGCUUGAAUGUACUUGAGGUAGGCGGAAUGUGACAAGUAGCGGUGAAAUGCAUAGAUAUGUCACAGACACCAAUUGCGAAGGCAGCUUACUAAAGUAUGAUUGACGCUGAGGCACGAAAGCGUGGGGAGCAAACAGG